rnacentral:rRNA from 1 species
GAUAAACGCUGGCGGCACACAUAAGACAUGCAAGUCGAACGGACAAUUUUGAAAAUGUUUACAUUUUUUUAAUUGUUAGUGGCGGACUGGUGAGUAACACGUAAGCAACCUGCCUAUUAGAGGGGAAUAACAAUGAGAAAUCAUUGCUAAUACCGCAUAUGCCAUAAUUAUCACAUGAUAGUAGUGGGAAAGAAGUAAUUCGCUAAUAGAUGGGCUUGCGUCUGAUUAGUUAGUUGGUGGGGUAAUGGCCGUACCAAGACUACGAUCAGUAGCCGGACUGAGAGGUUCAACGGCCACAUUGGGACUGAGACACGGCCCAGACUCCUACGGGAGGCAGCAGUGGGGAAUAUUGCACAAU